rnacentral:lncRNA from 1 species
GUGUUCACAGCUGUUCAUAGCCUGCCUGCCCACUCCCCUCAGGCCUUCACUUCCUUUUAACUUGUCAACCAUUUCUUUCAUUGAACCUGGACUCUUGUGCCCUAACUGGACCUUGCCUGUCCCAGAUUAGAAGGAGAUAGUCAGGGGGGUUGCUUCCUAUCCCUGCUGGAUCUGGGCAGAACCUCACAGGGCAAAGUGCUAGGUAAACACCACAAAUGAGGGUGACUAGGCCCUCAUUCUGCAACUAGGCCACCACAGUACCCCAUGGGUGCCAAGGCAGGUGGUCAUGGUGGUGGCUGCCAGACCCCAAGGUGUUCCAUACCUGAAUCUUGGCAAUAGGAGAGUCCAGAUGCCUUCCUAUUCAUUGGGUUUUACGGCCACUCACAUUCUCCUAGCCUUAGUAAGAAUCCCAGCAGGGUUACUUCAUAUACGUAGCAUCAGAAAAUAACAUAGUCUCUUGGUACUUCAGUGUCUUCAUCAAACUAUGGAAAAGAUUGCCAUGGUGGUGAUUUAAGAUAACACUAAGCACAUUGCCUGGCAUGAAAUAGUCAGUUAAUGGGACCAGCCACCAAUGAGAAUAUUCAGGCAGCAGGGACAAGGGGGGAAGGGAGCCCAAUAUGUGGCCAUUGAAGCUGGAAGUGCAAAGAUUUGGGAUGUAUGAGUCUAGGCCCACAUGCUGGUCUCUCCACCCCAAGGACUGGUUCCAUUUCCCUGGCAUCUCAGGCUCAGCUAUACUUCUCCCUCCACUCAUCUUCCACUAUUCUCUCUCUCUUGUUGCUUACCAGCUGCUGCCAUGUCCCCAUCAGUGCUCAGCAACCCGGGAAGGAGGCAGAGGCUUUGUGGCUUCUCUACCACUUUAGGCCAAAGACUGUAUCUAAGGCAGGAGGGGGCCUGAGGAGAGACACCACCAGCUUCAGGUGCCCUUACCUCACGUCGCUGCUGUUUGCCUGGAGCCAUAGCACAGCCAGAUGCCGAAGUUCUUCACACGCGGUGGUGAUUUCUAGACACCUGUCCACAAUACAGUAUCUCCCCAGACGACUUCUUCAUCUUCUUCAGCUGCCACACGAAAUACCAGAAGUGGGACUUGGCCACCACAUGGUUGGGUGAGAAGAUGCCCAUUCGGUAUAGUGGUGGUGUGUGGCACUUUCGGGAUGGGCAAGCAGCGCCCCACCACCUUGUACUCUCGAAGCAUGCUCGAGGCCUUCAGGGCGGUUGUUCCUCCUUGGCGGCGAGUCACAAAAGGAAGUCACAUCCCAGUUUUAUAAAGACAUCAAGCUUUGGGGAUGUUAAGGAGCCUCCCUAAGUUCACACAGACUGAGGGUAGCAGAGACAGAAUUUUAACCAAUUUAAUGUAAGAGAUGCCACAAUCUAGGCAGUGGUGGCACACAACUUUAAUCCCAGCACUCUGAGGCAGAAGCAGGUAAAUAUCUGAGUUCAAGGCCAGACUGAUCUACAAAGCAAGUUCCAGGACAGCCAGGGCUACACAGAGAAACCCUGCCUCAAAAGACAAAAUAAAAUAAAAUUUAAAAAAUGCA